AUUGAACGCUGGCGGCAGGCCUAACACAUGCAAGUCGAACGGUAGCACAGAGAGCUUGCUCUCGGGUGACGAGUGGCGGACGGGUGAGUAAUGUCUGGGAAACUGCCCGAUGGAGGGGGAUAACUACUGGAAACGGUAGCUAAUACCGCAUAACGUCUUCGGACCAAAGUGGGGGACCUUCGGGCCUCACACCAUCGGAUGUGCCCAGAUGGGAUUAGCUAGUAGGUGGGGUAAUGGCUCACCUAGGCGACGAUCCCUAGCUGGUCUGAGAGGAUGACCAGCCACACUGGAACUGAGACACGGUCCAGACUCCUACGGGAGGCAGCAGUGGGGAAUAUUGCACAAUGGGCGCAAGCCUGAUGCAGCCAUGCCGCGUGUAUGAAGAAGGCCUUCGGGUUGUAAAGUACUUUCAGCGGGGAGGAAGGCGGUGAAGUUAAUAGCUUCAUCGAUUGACGUUACCCGCAGAAGAAGCACCGGCUAACUCCGUGCCAGCCGCCGCGGUAA
rnacentral:rRNA from 1 species